rnacentral:rRNA from 1 species
CGGCGAGUGAAGCGGCAACAGCUCAAAUUUGAAAUCUGGCGUAAGCCCGAGUUGUAAUUUGUAGAGGAUGCUUCUGGGUAGCGGCCGGUCUAAGUUCCUUGGAACAGGACGUCAUAGAGGGUGAGAAUCCCGUAUGUGACUGGCUUGCACCCUCCACGUAGCUCCUUCGACGAGUCGAGUUGUUUGGGAAUGCAGCUCUAAAUGGGAGGUAAAUUUCUUCUAAAGCUAAAUACCGGCCAGAGACCGAUAGCGCACAAGUAGAGUGAUCGAAAGAUGAAAAGCACUUUGGAAAGAGAGUUAAAAAGCACGUGAAAUUGUUGAAAGGGAAGCGCCCGCAACCAGACUUUGCGGCGGUGUUCGGCUGGUCUUCUGACCGGUUUACUCGCCGCCGUGAGGCCAUCAUCGUCUGGGACCGCUGGAUAAGACCUGAGGAAUGUAGCUCCCUUCGGGGUGUGUUAUAGCCUCUGGUGAUGCAGCGCGUCUCGGGCGAGGUCCGCGCUUCGGCAAGGAUGAUGGCGUAAUGGUUGUCGGCGGCCCGUCUUGAAACACGGACCAAGGAGUCUAACAUCUAUGCGAGUGUUCGGGUGUCAAACCCCUACGCGUAAUGAAAGUGAACGGAGGUGGGAACUUUUUGUGCACCAUCGACCGAUCCUGAUGUCCUCGGAUGGAUUUGAGUAAGAGCAUAGCUGUUGGGACCCGAAAGAUGGUGAACUAUGCCUGA